rnacentral:rRNA from 1 species
GCAUAUCAAUAAGCGGAGAAAAGAAACUACCAAGGAUUCCCCUAGUAGCGGCGAGCGAAGCGGAAGAGCUCAAAUUUAUAAUCUGGCACCUUCGGUGUCCGAGUUGUAAUCUCUAGAAAUGUUUUCCGCGUUGGACCGCACACAAGUCUGUUGGAAUACAGCGGCAUAGUGGUGAGACCCCCGUAUAUGGUGCGGACGCCCAGCGCUUUGUGAUACAUUUUCGAAGAGUCGAGUUGUUUGGGAAUGCAGCUCAAAUUGGGUGGUAAAUUCCAUCUAAAGCUAAAUAUUGGCGAGAGACCGAUAGCGAACAAGUACCGUGAGGGAAAGAUGAAAAGCACUUUGGAAAGAGAGUUAACAGUACGUGAAAUUGUUGGAAGGGAAACGCUUGAAGUCAGACUUGCUUGCCGAGCAAUCGGUUUGCAGGCCAGCAUCAGUUUUCCGGGAUGGAUAAUGGUAGAGAGAAGGUAGCAGUUUCGGCUGUGUUAUAGCUCUCUGCUGGAUACAUCUUGGGGGACUGAGGAACGCAGUGUGCCUUUGGCGGGGGUUUCGACCUCUUCACACUUAGGAUGCUGGUGGAAUGGCUUUAAACGACCCGUCUUGAAACACGGACC